UACGUAGGGUGCAAGCGUUGUCCGGAAUUAUUGGGCGUAAAGAGCUCGUAGGCGGUUUGUCGCGUCUGCUGUGAAAUCCCGAGGCUCAACCUCGGGUCUGCAGUCGAUACGAGCAAACUAGAGUGUUGCAGGGGAGACUGGAAUUCCUGGUGUAGCGGUGAAAUGCGCAGAUAUCAGGAGGAACACCGGUGGCGAAGGCGGGUCUCUGGGCAACAACUGACGCUGAGGAGCGAAAGCGUGGGGAGCGAACGGG
rnacentral:rRNA from 1 species